GAUUUCAAUUGAAAAAGUCAUCAAUAACAAAGUGGUAUAACUCAUCAAGAUCUAUAUCUUUUAUUUGGGUUAUUUCUUCAUUCGAUAAAGUGAUUUGUAACAUUGUUCACAAAAUGUACAUAUCUCUCUUAUAGUUUAUAAAUUUCAUAUAUGUACAUAUCUCUCUUAAAUGUACAUAUAUGUAAAUUUUGUGAACAAUGUUACUAUUACUUUGUCGGAUAAAGAAAUGAUCAAAAUAAAAGUUAUAUAUAUUGAUGAGUUAUACAACUUUGAUGUUGAUGACUUUUUCAGUUAAAAUC
rnacentral:pre_miRNA from 1 species